ensembl:lncRNA
UUUGGAAAUCCAUGUGACAGAUCUGUUCAUGCUAACGUGGCAUAAGGAUUACUGCUGUCAUUAUUAAGUGACUUUUGCUUUGUCAGCCAUAUUUUCUUGCAAAAUUAACAUAAGCUAAGAUGGGCAUUAGCUUUGUAGCAAUCUAUGUACUAAAUAUUUCAUAUUUUUAACUAAGAAGUAAAAACAGGAUCCUGUGUAUUCAAUCAGUAUAGACAAAAUAUUGCUGCCAAUGAUGAGAGUAAGGAUUUCAGGAAAGCCAGUUCUAUUUCAAUGGAGUACAAAUUAAUGAUCUGCUGGGGAACUUAGUUGCAGAUGAAAGUGUAGUGAAACACUAAUACUGUCCUUAUCAUAUCACUUUAAUGUAUUGUAGAAGCUCAAUGGUUUUGGUGUCUUAAUUCUCAUUUUGUGAGCAGGAAUUAUUUAUAUCCUUUUAGGCACAGUCAUAUACAUGUGGACAUUUAUUGCAUAACAGUCUGUUGUGUCUUGAAUACCAAAAAAUAGAAAUUCAUGUAACAGAUACAUGAGAGAAAAUGUGCUCCAAGGAACACAGUCAUCAGAUCCUUGACAAAUUGUCAUUUUUUAUCCUCUCAUGAGAAAAGCAGCUGGGAUGUUUUUCUGAUGGCUUAUUUUAAUUCUUUCUCUGACCAAAGUAUUUUAAGAUUCAGCAAGUUCUAUUAAGUAUCAAGGACAUUUCCAACAUAUGUAUCUGAGCCAGGAAUCAAACAAAACAAAAACUCUUGCAGUGAACCAUUAGGCAUUUGAUUUGCUGGCAGGAAAGAAUACAACUUUGAGGCAUUAAAAAUGAAAUAUCCUUUGAUGCUGGGAUAUAGGAUUUUCCUCUGUUAUGGAUGAAUGCAUUUGUAUCCAGAUAAUAUCCAAUUCAGCUGUCACAGUGUUAAUGUAACUGCUCAGGACUCGUCUUGGUACUGAGAGAAUGUUUAUACAGUACAGUGCACUCUGGGAAGUCACAAAGCUGCUAACAGCCGGAAGCCUUAUUCUCUCGUCAUCUGGGGUGAUAUGAAUGAAGAUAAGCUUCAUUCAGGUAUACAGAAAUAUGCUGUUGUCCAGUGCCCUACAGGAAAAUCAAAUGUUACAAGAAAAUAUGAUGCCAAAACACACAACAGUUUUUGCUUUGUUUUUAAGGGGUGCUGCUUUCAUAACCCCCAGCUGGUGCAUCCACGUGGAGAAGUCCAACAAGUGAAUGGCUGCAGGGGUGGGAUAUGACCACGAGGAACAGCACAGGUCUGGCAGCUGCUAGGGCCACACACUUCAGGGAGGCAUCCAUGUACCAAUGGAUUAACUCGACAUAUAUUUUUGUAUCUGUAUGGAAUGCAAACUGCAACUCCAACAGGGCUUGAGAUUUUUCAAAUAAGUAUAAUUUAUCCUAAGCCUAAAUUUGCUAGAAAACACAGUCUGAAGCUCAUUUACCCAAUGAAAUUACCUAACUGAA